UGGCUCCAUCCUCAGCAUCCUUCUCCCAAUAUACCCUGGGUCCAUCCUCUGCACAUGUCCAAACCAUCUCAAGCUUUGUCUCUCUGACUUUGUCUCCAAACCGUCCCACCUGAGCUCUCCCUCUGAUACGUUCAUUUGUAAUCCUGUUCAUUCUCGUAACUCCCAAAGAGAAUCGCAACAUCUUCAGUUCUGUCACCUCCAGUUCUGCCUCCUGUCUCUUUGUUAGAACCACUGU